GCCGGGCAGUGGUGGCGCACGCCUUUAAUCCCAGCACUCAGGAGGCAGAGGCAGGCGGGUUUCUGAGUUCGAGGCCAGCCUGGUCUACAGAGUGAGUUCCAGGACAGCCAGGACUACACAGAGAAACCCUGUCUCAAAAUUAAAAACAAAACAAAAACCACACACACAAACCCUUAGAAGCUGUCAAAGACAGAUAAGAAAGGCAAGUAAGGGUCAUUUUUAUAAUGGUCAUUACCAAGGCUUCUAGAAUGCAGUUUCUCAUUUGCUGUGGACAUGACCAUAGACAAAUUCCCAUGAGGUUCUUCAUAUGCUGUUGGGAACAUGGUGAUGGCUGGAUGGGGUGGAUGGCUGGCUGACUGGGACAUUUGAGGAAGGUAUGUAUAUGGAAGGGGCUCCCAUAUACAUACAAUGAAGGUCAUUUCAAAGAGGGCUUUUUGGGCUAUAAAACCCACAGCUCUUAACGCUGUGACCAAAGAUUGAUGUUCUUCACAGAGAAAAUCCUGCACUGUUUUGAUAGUGCUGUGUUUUUCUGAGAAGAUAACAUACCCUGAAUCACUUAACAUACACUUAACACACCCUGAAUCACUUAACUCAUUAACACAUCUCUCAUUGUCUUCUCUUUCAG
rnacentral:lncRNA from 1 species